UUUUCCUUAAUUUCCGGUGUUUGUUUCGUGGAAAAUGAAUUCCUAUAGGAAAACAUUUUCCAAAACACGGGUAAAAGCAAAGCCAAUUUAUGGAAAAUGUCUUACCGAUUUCUAAGCCGUAAGACAUUUUCCCUUCUCUUCGUUCUCCCUUCCUUUCUGUCCAUCUCUGUCCAUCGUCCCUUCUCUUCGUUGGCCUCACCAAGUAAAUCUCUGUCUCGUCAUCUCCGUCGGUCGACCGACCGUCGUCCUUACCUCUGUAUUUUGAAGAAACUUAGCAGCCACAGUCGAGAAAAGAAGACCCAGAAGAGGAAGCUAGUUGGAUUCCUGAUCAAUGGGGUCAUACUCGAUUUAGAGCCUUAAUUGUUUCUGCAGACAACGCGACAAAUCAGAAACAUUUAAGUGGUUUGCGCUCACUUUAAAAGGCAAGUUUCUGAACUUUUAAUUGGUCCUCAUCUGCAUAUAUCUUCAUUAGUGCCCUCAUAAUUAUGUUUACUAUAUAAUUUCUUCUUCUUAUUAUUGUUGUUGGGUAUAAUUCUGAAUAAUCAUUGCUGUGUUUCCUUAUUGUGGUUAAUAGGUUUGUAAAAAAAAGCAUGCAUGUCCCCCCUUCUCACAAUCAAAAACCUUGUCUAGGAUGCAGGGGAAGCUAAUGCUAACUUUCAGGAUUCUUGCACUGGCCUAAUUACAGUAUAAUUAUAAAUGUUAAUAAGUCAUUGCCCUUUCGCUUUUACUCUUGAUAACUUGAUUCUCUCCAAGUGUUUAUUUGAGAUUAGAUGUCUAUGAGAGCAUCUCCUGCCAUGAUUUUCCUUAGAUUCUAAGCAAAUUGGUUUUGUUCAAGCAGUCAAUGCAUGACCAUGUUGAUGCUUGGCCAUUCAAGGAACCAGUUGAUGCUCGUGAUGUCCCUGAUUAUUAUGACAUUAUCAAAGACCCCAAGUUAUUACAGUUGCAAGUGGUAUAGAAUAUCAUCAUCAAAUUAUUUCUCAUAAUAACUUAGGCUUCAGUUUACAGAGAUGCUCGUUUGUUUAGAACAGUUAUUGUUAUGCGAAUGGAUCAAAUAUAUACAUGUAUGUAUGCAUAUAUAUUUAUUAAAGAUCCUUGAAUAUUAUCCUCAAACUGUUGUUCUUGAA